rnacentral:rRNA from 1 species
UGGGGAAUUUUGGACAAUGGGCGAAAGCCUGAUCCAGCAAUGCCGCGUGUGUGAAGAAGGCCUUCGGGUUGUAAAGCACUUUUGUCCGGAAAGAAAUCCUUGGCUCUAAUACAGUCGGGGGAUGACGGUACCGGAAGAAUAAGCACCGGCUAACUACGUGCCAGCAGCCGCGGUAAUACGUAGGGUGCAAGCGUUAAUCGGAAUUACUGGGCGUAAAGCGUGCGCAGGCGGUUUGCUAAGACCGAUGUGAAAUCCCCGGGCUCAACCUGGGAACUGCAUUGGUGACUGGCAGGCUAGAGUAUGGCAGAGGGGGGUAGAAUUCCACGUGUAGCAGUGAAAUGCGUAGAGAUGUGGAGGAAUACCGAUGGCGAAGGCAGCCCCCUGGGCCAAUACUGACGCUCAUGCACGAAAGCGUGGGGAGCAAACAGGAUUAGAUACCCUGGUAGUCCACGCCCUAAACGAUGUCAACUAGUUGUUGGGGGAUUCAUUUCCUUAGUAACGUAGCUAACGCGUGAAGUUGACCGCCUGGGGAGUACGGUCGCAAGAUUAAAACUUAAAUGAAUUGACGGGGUC